AGUGGGAUAGCUUGGUCAAAUGGUGGUUCCAUUCCUAGUUUCCCAAGCAAUCUCCAUACUGCUUUCCAGAUUGGUUGCACCAAUUUGCAGUCCCACCAGCAAU
rnacentral:pre_miRNA from 1 species